AUGAGCAGCUCACAGCUUUUUCCCAUAAGUUUAAACAAAUUGACUGACAAAGAGCGCCACAAGUACAUUCUCGGCCACUAUGUGCUCAACAACACCGCCCAAAGCGAGUCGCGAAAACACAAGCGAGACAUCGAUGUCAUUCGGGAGAACCAUCGCUUUCUGUGGGACGACGAUGACGAGGAAUGCGGAUCGCUGAGUUGGGAUCAACGCCUGGCGCGGCGCUACUACAAGAAACUCUUCAAGGAAUACUGCAUCGCGGACCUGACUCGCUACAAGGAGAACAAGAUAGCCCUCCGCUGGCGAACCGAGCAGGAAGUUGUGGCAGGAACAGGACAAUUCCAGUGCGGCAGCCGCCACUGUGGGGAGCGGACGGAUCUGCGCAGCUGGGAGGUGAAUUUCAAGUACAUCGAGCAAGGGGUGCCCAUGAAUGCGCUGGUUAAGGUACGGCUUUGUCCCACGCACACGGAUCAACUCAACUAUCGCACCAAAAAGAAGGAGUACAAAAAGCAGAAACGUAGGGAGAAGGAUGAGUGCAGAGCUGGAAAAAGAAACAAGCGACGGAAACUGGAUGAUACUGCCAAUGAUGAGGGCGAGAAAGAUAAUAAGGAAGAGCCUGCGGUGCCAGAGGCAGAUCCGGAAACAUGGAACAUUGAAGCUGAGGAACCCACCGCAGACGACCAAAUCUGGAUAAAUCAGCUUAAUCUCAGCGAGGAACAACCCUCCAGAGAGCAAGAAUUCGAACGCUAUCUGGAAGAUCUUCUAAUGUAAAAUACAUAGCACGUUUAUUUUUGUAUUCAACGUAGAUCUUUUUAAAGUUACUGGCCGCGGGAUGCGCUCGCUUAUAUACUAAGAUGUACAUGCAUAAUCUUUUCGUGUAUUUUCUGGGACUUGCAUGUACAUACACUCACAUUUACAAGACUAUUCACAAUUAUUUGUUAAAACCAACACCAAAAAGUUGAACUGGACAGUAAGGCUGUGACUCUGACUCGACUCUGUUUUUUUUUUUUACAAUAUUAUGUGUAAUUAUGUGUACCUAGAGUUCAAUCGCAAUCCCUUUGUUGAUCGAGUGCAAGUCGGAUACGCUACAGCCCCAGCAACGAUCGACGUUCUUCUAAAUAUAAACUGGAGAAACAACACUUUAAACGCUUUAAAAUAAAUACCCUUGACUGUU